UACGUAGGGUGCAAGCGUUGUCCGGAAUUAUUGGGCGUAAAGAGCUCGUAGGCGGUUUGUCGCGUCUGCCUGUGAAACCCGAGGCUCAACCUCGGGCCUGCAGUGGGUACGGGCAAACUAGAGUGCGGUAAGGGGAGAAUGGAAUUCCUGGUGUAGCGGUGGAAUGCGCAGAUAGUCAGGAGGAACACCGAUGGCGAAGGCAGUUCUCUGGGCCGUAACUGACGCUGAGGAGCGAAAGCGUGGGGAGCGAAACAGG
rnacentral:rRNA from 1 species